UGGGGAAUUUUGGACAAUGGGCGAAAGCCUGAUCCAGCAAUGCCGCGUGCAGGAUGAAGGCCCUCGGGUUGUAAUCUGCUUUUGUACGGAACGAAAAGCCUGGGGCUAAUAUCCCCGGGUCAUGACGGUACCGUAAGAAUAAGCACCGGCUAACUACGUGCCAGCAGCCGCGGUAAUACGUAGGGUGCAAGCGUUAAUCGGAAUUACUGGGCGUAAAGCGUGCGCAGGCGGUUUUGUAAGACAGUGGUGAAAUCCCCGGGCUCAACCUGGGAACUGCCAUUGUGACUGCAAGGCUAGAGUGCGGCAGAGGGGGAUGGAAUUCCGCGUGUAGCAGUGAAAUGCGUAGAUAUGCGGAGGAACACAGAUGGCGAAGGCAAACCCCUGGGCCUGCACUGACGCUCAUGCACGAAAGCGUGGGGAGCAAACAGG
rnacentral:rRNA from 1 species